GCCUCGGUGGCUCAGCCUGGUAGAUGUUUCUCGACACCGGAGAGCAUCCGCCUCGUACCCGCAGGGUCGCGGGUUCAAACCCCGCCCGAGGCUCCA
rnacentral:tRNA from 1 species